CCUACGGGAGGCUGCAGUGAGGAAUAUUGGUCAAUGGGCGAGAGCCUGAACCAGCCAAGUCGCGUGAAGGAUGACGGCCCUACGGGUUGUAAACUUCUUUUGUCAGGGAGCAAUUGAGUCCACGUGUGGGCUUAGCGAGAGUACCUGAAGAAAAAGCAUCGGCUAACUCCGUGCCAGAAGCCGCGGUAAUACGGAGGAUGCGAGCGUUAUCCGGUUUUUUUGGGUUUAAGGGGUGCGUAGGCGGAAUAUCAAGUCAGCGGUAAAAAUUCGGGGCCCAACCCCGUCGUGCCGUUGAAACUGAUGUUCUUGAGUGGGCGAGAAGUAUGCGGAAUGCGUGGUGUAGCGGUGAAAUGCAUAGAUAUCACGCAGAACUCCGAUUGCGAAGGCAGCAUACCGGCGCCCAACUGACGCUGAAGCACGAAAGCGUGGGUAUCGAACAGGAUUAGAUACCCUUGUAGUC
rnacentral:rRNA from 1 species